UUACGGCCAUAUAGCGUUGAUACACCAGUUCCCGUACGAUCACCGAAGUUAAGCCACAUCGAGCCUGAUCAGGACUUGAUGGGUGACCGGUUGGGAAUAUAAGGUGCUA